CGGGUGCCGACGAGGUUUCUCAUUUCGCUCGAUGGCGGGGUCACGGUUGAGCUUCAGAGGCAGGCUCCACCCUUUCCCAAGUCUUUUGGCCAAACCAGGAAGGACAGACACAGCAGAUAAGUGCUCCCUCGACUGCGUCCUCAGAGGAUCCAGUGAAGCAGGCCACAGUGGAUUCAUCUCUCCUGCAAAUUGCAUGCAUGAGCCAGGCCUUGGGCUGCCAGCGGAAGACGUGAAGUCAAUCCAGGGAGCCAAGGCCACCGUCAGCUCUCCAUGUUUAGAAUAACCCAGUAAAAACUCCUGGGAACUGGACUGUGAUCACACCGGCGCUUGGCAAAAGAGAAUGACUGAGAGCAUGCAAUCAUCAGUGGCCACCACAGGUACGGAUUCAUGGCAGCCAGGACCAGCAGGAUUCUGGGAGGGAAUUUGUGAGACGAGGCAUUAAUGAGAGGGACAGAGAAAGGCCUCGUCAGCCGGCGAGAAAUAUAUGCAAAUGAGAUGCACACACCAAAAGGACCCUGGGUAGGCAAGGCAAGCACCCGGCCGAGAUCCCGCUGAGCUCUGAGGAAGAUGAGCGGCUCAGGUCAGAAGAAUGGCAACAAAACACCUCCUACUUCUUUUCUUCUGCUCUUUCUUUUUUCUUCAUCCUGCAUCUGAGAGGGCAGAGAAAAUGCAAACAGGUUAACACAAAAGCGGAGAGAUGAAGUGGUCGUGUAACAGUGUUGUUGUUGAUGUUUUUUUUUUUUUUACUACAAUUGCUAGGUAGAUUAUUUAUUUAUUUAUUGAUAUAGUUUUAUAUUCAUCUGUGCAGGAGCAGAUUCAACACGUGUGUUUUACAUCAAAACGUUGCACAAUUUCAAUUAGUCAGGAUUUAUGAGAGUUAAAAAUAAAAGAUAAAACUCAAAUUAAGCUCUGAAAUUGUGCUUAUUGAAGUCAUUUUUGUUAAUAGAAAAAAUAAUAAUAAUAACAUUUAUUUCCUAUGUCACAUAAUUUGGUAAUUAAACUCCUAACAUGUUUAUUUAAUCAUCAUAGUUAAGAGUUUAUAAUGGCACAUGGUAUAAGUUUCAACAAUAAAAUGCAUUUGUGUGAAAAGACAAAAGACAGUUGUGAUUGGCAGGAUUGUUUUUUUGUUUACACAUGUGAUGCUGAAUGUGGUUUAAAUUCACUUUCAGUA